rnacentral:rRNA from 1 species
UACGUAGGGUGCGAGCGUUAAUCGGAUUUACUGGGCGUAAAGCGCGCGCGGGUGGUUUCUUAAGUCUGAUGUGAAAGCCCACGGCUCAACCGUGGAGGGUCAUUGGAAACUGGGAGACUUGAGUGCAGAAGAGGAAAGUGGAAUUCCAUGUGUAGCGGUGAAAUGCGUAGAGAUAUGGAGGAACACCAGUGGCGAAGGCGACUUUCUGGUCUGUAACUGACACUGAGGCGCGAAAGCGUGGGGAGCAAACAGG